GCUAUUUAUACACAGCAGCUACAUGGGAGAAGCAGAAGCCAGGACAACAGCAGAGUAGUCACUUCCUAGAUGGCUUUGUGAUGGACCAUUAGAAGAGCUGCACCUUGCCUGGGCUACCUGUGUGAUUGGCUGUUACCUGCCCACAUUUUGGACCUGAACUGCUUCCCUGUGCUUGAUAUUUCUUGGACUGCACUGCACCUUCAUCCCUGCUCUUCUUGUGGUGCCAUUGGGGUAGGAAACUGGCGCAGACGCCGAGAAGGCUGCUUGGCAGAAUGAACAGGUGGGCUCCUAUAUACAGCAGGACUAACCUAGCCAUUUAUAAGCAACUGCAGUAAUGCAUUUGUGUCCAUUAGGGAUGAAUGAACUUGUCCCAGAAGAAACAUUCCACUCUCUGAUUG